ACUGUUUUUUCAUCUACCUCUGGUCUCUGUGCAGAUAACCAGAAGAUUCUACCUGUGGAUCAGAAACUAGACCCUCACCAGACACCAAAUCUGCUGGAGUAUGGACUUCCUAGCUUCUAGAACUCUUGGAAAGUGUGCUUCUGCAACAUGGCAGUCGAGCCCCACAUCAAAGAAGCAAAAUAUAGAAUAACAGCAU
ensembl:lncRNA novel transcript